rnacentral:tRNA from 1 species
GUGCGCGCAGCGCAGUUGCUUAGAGUGACGGCCUCCGGAGCCGCAGGUUUUGUGUUCGACUCCCGCCGCGCAGACCC